UACGUAGGGUGCAAGCGUUGUCCGGAAUUAUUGGGCGUAAAGAGCUCGUAGGCGGUCUGUUGCGUCGGCUGUGAAAACCCGGGGCUCAACUCCGGGCCUGCAGCCGAUACGGGCAGACUAGAGUUCGGCAGGGGAGACUGGAAUUCCUGGUGUAGCGGUGAAAUGCGUAGAUAUCAGGAGGAACACCGAUGGCGAAGGCAGGUCUCUGGGCCGAUACUGACGCUGAGGAGCGAAAGCGUGGGGAGCGAACAGG
rnacentral:rRNA from 1 species